CCUGUGGUUUCUUGCCCUAUGGGGAGGUUGCCUUCCCCCCGCCCCCCACCCCCUAGAGCUUCAGGCUGUGCACUUGAAGGACCUGUCUUCGCUCAAGAAGUUAUUUAGGUGAGGGAAAUUACCCAAAAAGCCACACACACCAAGCUCCCACAGUAAAAAUGUCCUGAAUGUUCAUUUAGGUCAUGGUUGCCAGACAGAUUUGUCCUCACUGAGUAUGCGUGGCGCCAGAGAGCAGAGUCCACUGUGGAGGUUGUGGGAGCCCCUGGAGCAAGUUUACCUAGCCGUUUUUAUCAUAGGAUAACCUACCACUUUAUUAUUAGUCAUCAUCCCAGCCCUGGGGCUACUGAUGAUUCAGAAGGUUGAAGUGAAGACUGAAUGAGGUGCUCUACCCAGCACAGCACCUGGCAGUUCUGUAAACCCUACCGUCCUUCUUCUUCUUAUCUUGAAUAUGCCUACUAAUUCCCUUUCCUUCAUUCGCUGUGUGUUGCUUGUUUAAGGUACCAAGUCAACCACAGCUGCAGCUUAGCAGCAAUUUGCUAGAAGCUGCUCUAAGUGAGCCCCCCCAUCCCCCUAGAUAUGUGGCUACUCUUCAACCCGUACCACGUCACACUCUGGUUGGUGGAAAUCACGUGUGGUCUGUAAGGGCAGUCGGUGAUGUGCAUGAACAACGGCGUCUUGCUCAGCCCACACUGGCGCUUCAUCUGUUCUGAUUCUUUACACAAUCUAGAUGCCGAUGUGAUUGAUUAGACACGAACACCAUGGCAUUCUACUGUGCAGGCAUAACAAACCUGAAGGUCAGGCAUGGUGUCAUUUCAACAUCUCUCCUGCCAUGGCACCCCUACAAACAGACUGGACUAGGUGACGUAAUUGUUUCUAUAUUUCUAAAUAUGAAUGAGCAGGUUGGUGUGUUAUACAACAGAGAAAGAAAAAGAGUGGCUGUGUCUUUAGCAACAUGCCCCAUUUCAAGAAGCAGACCAUGUUUACUAGGAAGUUUGUUCAUCACAGAUCUGUAGAAAGAAGGGUAGCAAAAAUGCUGAUGCAUGUUUGCAAAGGGAACAAUUGCAACAUGAGUCCGGGGAGUUGAACUAAAACUGAUAUUUGCCUUUCUUCACCUGAUGGGGUUGGAGGGGAGCUUGACCCCAUUCUCUUGACCUCCAGGCUGAUUUAAUUAGGGUAGAACAGAUUUCAACACGGAUAGGGUACCUACAGGGCCAUAUACUGCACAAGUUAUAUACUAAAUGCAGUGCCCUCAGCCACAUGGUAUGAGAAAUAGAGCAAGGAAUCAGAGAUAGAGCCUUCGCUGGAAGGAUUUCGUGUAUAAUAGGAAAGGAAAUGUAAAUGACCUCAAAAUGAGACAGAAAGUGAAGUGU
rnacentral:lncRNA from 1 species